UACGUAGGGUGCGAGCGUUGUCCGGAUUUAUUGGGCGUAAAGAGCUCGUAGGCGGUUUGUCGCGUCGGCCGUGAAAUCUCCACGCUUAACGUGGAGCGUGCGGUCGAUACGGGCAGACUUGAGUUCGGUAGGGGAGACUGGAAUUCCUGGUGUAGCGGUGAAAUGACGCAGAUAUCGGGAGGAACACCGGUGGCGAAGGCGGUU
rnacentral:rRNA from 1 species